CAGAGACCCAGUAAAAAAACAAAACUACAGGCCAAUCUCCCUGAUGAGUACAGUUGCAAAAAUUCUCAAAAAAUAUUAGCAAAGAAAAUUCAACAUAACAUUAA